GACGAACGCUGGCGGCGUGCCUAAUACAUGCAAGUCGAACGCACUCUCGUUUAGAUUGAAGGAGCUUGCUCCUGAUUGAUAAACAUUUGAGUGAGUGGCGGACGGGUGAGUAACACGUGGGUAACCUGCCCUAAAGUGGGGGAUAACAUUUGGAAACAGAUGCUAAUACCGCAUAAAACCUAAACACCGCAUGGUGUAGGGUUGAAAGAUGGUUUCGGCUAUCACUUUAGGAUGGACCCGCGGUGCAUUAGUUAGUUGGUGAGGUAAAGGCUCACCAAGACCGUGAUGCAUAGCCGACCUGAGAGGGUAAUCGGCCACACUGGGACUGAGACACGGCCCAGACUCCUACGGGAGGGCAGCAGUAGGGAAUCUUCCAC
rnacentral:rRNA from 1 species